rnacentral:rRNA from 1 species
UACGUAGGGCGCAAGCGUUGUCCGGAAUCAUUGGGCGUAAAGAGCUCGUAGGCGGCCUGUUGCGUCCGCUGUGAAAUCCCGGGGCUUAACCCCGGGCGUGCAGUGGAUACGGGCUGGCUGGAGGCAGGCAGGGGAGAACGGAAUUCCCGGUGUAGCGGUGAAAUGCGCAGAUAUCGGGAGGAACACCGGUGGCGAAGGCGGUUCUCUGGGCCUGUACUGACGCCGAGGAGCGAAAGCGUGGGGAGCGAACAGG